UGAUCUCUUUAAAGGGUCGUUCGAGACCAGGACGUUGAUAGGCUGGGUGUGGAAGUGCAGUAAUGCAUUAAGCUAACCAGUACUAAUUGCCCGUAAGGCUUGUCCCUAUAACCUUAGCAGGUUGUA
rnacentral:rRNA from 1 species